AUUACCUUGGCAGAUGAAUGUGCUAGAUUUAGGAUCUAGUAAUAUAGUGGUUACUAUAGGUAAUA
rnacentral:tRNA from 1 species